AGGUUUUGUUUCUUUUUCUUUUUUCAUGUUUUAGUUUAAUUCCAUUUUCUUAUGUAUAAUUUUAUGCCAAACAAUGUUUCCAGGUGAGUCAUCAUCCCCCAAUGAGUGCUGGGCAUGCUGAAAAUGAGCACUUUAGUUAUGAUGUGACUUCAAAGUUGAAAACUAAGUUUUUAGGAAACUCGUUGGAUGUCUAUCCUGUGGGAAGGUAAACUUCUGCUUUCCACUCUCUUUCUACACCCUUCAGCUAAUUGCUUGUUGAUCUCACUCCUAAAUGUCAAAAGAGCAAGUUAAUAACUUAUAAAUUUAGAUACCCCUUAAGAUCAUGUGUUCAAACUUUGAUACACCUGCUUCAAAUAUUUAAAUAUUUAAUUUGUUUCUUGAAGCAAAUUGAUAAAGAAUUAAAUGGUUAUACAUUAAAUUUGUUGAGAUACACACCCUCAAGAGUUAGAUAUUUAGCCCACACCCCAAAAGUUAGAUAUUAGCCACUUUCACGGGCAAUCACGGUCAACUCAACAUUUAUUUGCAAUUUUAGAGUGUCUUUUUGGUUUAUCCCAUAUGUUGACUCUUUGAAUCCAUUGCUAUCACUGAACAACUCAAUGUUUACUUGGGAUUUUAGACUUCUCUUUUCAAUUUAUCCCAUAUGUGGACUCUUGGAGUUCACUUGCUACUAGUGAUAGCUGUGUUUAUUUUACCACUACCCUGAUGUCUGGCAAUACUAGAUUUGGUGAUGAUAUGAUUUUUUCCUUUGCAGAACACGAGUGACUUUAAAAAGAGAUGGUGUAGUAUUAGAUUUAGUACCACCACCCACUAAAGUUAACAACUUGAUAUUUGGAAGGACAUGGGUCGAUUCACCCGGAGAGAUGAUAAUGACCAAUUUGGCAACCGGUGAUAAAGUUGUACUAUAUUUUCAACCAUGCGGAUGGUUUGGGUAAGAAUCUUUAUCCUAUCACUCUCUCGUUGUUACAAUUUCUAUACUAAUGACGAUCUUUAUAGGUACACUGACAGCAUUAUAUUCAAAACAAUUUUUUUUUAUAAAUAUGUUUGAUUCUGAGAUAUCUGACUGCCUCUAGGUUAUUGUAUUUCUAGCCCAUAUCUUUAUGAGGGUUCCUUAUCCAUCAUAAUCUUGGAGUAUUUCAUAAAAAUGAAUAAUUUAACAUAUAUUUCCAAAUGGAAGGGAAAGAUUGUAGUUUCAUGUGGGAAAAAAUCUAAUAUUCUUUUUCUAUUCACAGGGGUAUGUCUUUUGUUUGUAUGAUUUUAUGCAAUGAUCUUAGAGAGGUUUCUGAUAUCAAGUGAAUACUCUACCUGGCUUUCGACAUCUUCUUAGUUAAAUUCUAGCAAUUUUCUUCAAAUUGACUGAGAGCAAUGGAAUUUCUCAGCAAUUGGAAUGUUUUUUUUAAUUGGAAACAUUCAACUUUCAUUGUUGUCAAAGGAAUUGACGUCUCUUUCCAUCUUACCCUUGACUAUUGUUUUUGGUUGCAGUGCUGGGCGUUAUGAAGUGGAUGGUUACGUUUAUAAUUCGGCAGAGGAACCAAAGAUUUUGAUGACAGGGAAAUGGAAUGAAUUUAUGAGUUACCAACCUUGUGAUAUGGAAGGGGAGCCUCUUCCAAACACAGAACUGAAAGAGGUAAUGAUCGUUGUCUCAAUCUUAGUUGACUCUAAAAUUGACCAAAAAUGGCAGAGUAGACGUUGAUCAUUGUGUUUGUUUCAGUUAGCGUCUUUGUUUUUCAUUUGAAAUCUGAUCAUACCUUCUGCAUUGUGUUGUUUUGUUGUCUUUGUUCCUGUAGGUGUGGCAUGUGGCUAAAACACCCGAAAAUGACAAAUUUCAAUACACACAUUUUGCACAUAAGAUCAAUAGUUUCGAUACUGCCCCUAAGAAGUUGUUGGCAUCGGACUCCCGGUUGCGUCCUGAUAGAUACGCUUUAGAGAAGGGUGAUCUAUCCAAAGCAGGGUCGGAAAAGAGCAGGUUUGGUUUUUGAUCUUUCCGAUUCUUUAAUAAAGCUGCAAUCAAUUCAAAUUAUUAACGAGUUAUUCAUGCCUGUUUUCUAUGGUCAGUUUGGAAGAGAGGCAAAGAGCUGAAAAGAGAACUCGAGAAGCCAAAGGACAGAGUUUUAUGCCAAGAUGGUUUGAUUUAACCGAAGAGGUUACGUCCACACCAUGGGGUGACUUGGAAAUCUACCAAUAUAACGGUAAAUACACCAAGUAUCGGGCUGAGAUCGAUAGUUCUGGUUCAAGCAGCAACGAUGAUGUUGACGUUAAAUCGAUAGAAUUUAACCCCUGGCAAUAUGGGAACUUGUCGACAGAUUAAGACUCUCCUCAUCUAUGUUUUGUUUGGUUGGGUUCUUCAGAUAGUUGGUAACAUUUUUCAGCAUUUGAUAUUGUAGUGGUCUGUUGUUUGUUUAUAUACAUAGAGCUUUUACAUUUUGUAACUUUGUUAUCAAUCUUUGCCAGUUGUUUGAUCAAUCCUACAACUUUCUACCAAAGUUUUUGUUGCUGGUGAUAUAAUUCAUAAUGUAUGUGGUUUGACUUUACAGUGAUUGAUUACAUGUGAUAGAAAUUAGUAUCUUUUCUUAUGCUGCUGUUCCAACAUGAUUUGAUAUGCAAUUCCAUUUUCUCAUCUAUAGGAUUCCUUCCAUGUUAAAGUCACUUUCAAGGAAAUAAGAUAGAAAGGAACAACAUCAAGCUUUGGACAAGCACACAACAUCUUUUUGUUCUGAAAAAAAGAAAAAGCACAAACUUUUUAGGGGAUGUUUCGGGAUUACUGUAACUUUGAACUGUAUUAAAAUGCAUGAAAAAAAAUGAGUGCAUAGUGAAAAUGGAAUUGAAAAAGAGGACCGGUACAAAACAUAUGUGAAGGAAAUAAGUUUGGUAUUACACGUCUAAGUCCAAAACACUUAAUGUAAAUAUUAGUUUCAAGUAUCUAUCGAUCCACCUGAAGUCAAAAAGGAGAAAGAAAAAAAUGCAGGCUUGUCGAAAGUGCAAAUAAAGAUGCUUUUCUUCUAAUGAAAUUAAAUUAUGGUGACAUUGAAUAUUAACUUUUAAACACAUUUUUACAAACUUUAACACAUUGUGGGGUUGAGUUGAGUGUGUGCCCUAAUUGAUUAACCAAAAUUUAAAGGGUUAAUUGAAUGGAUUAAAAAGAGAGUUGUUCUUUAAAUACAACAAAUGAACUAAGGAGAUUUGACCUUAAGCUAACUGUGUUAUACUUUCUUGUUGACAAUUAAAAAAAAAAAAGAAAAAGAAAGAAAGAGUUUAAGUCCCAUUUUAUUAGAAGAAAAAUCAUUUUCUUAAAGAAAGGGUUUAAUUAAAAUGAUAGUGUUUGGUUGGACCUUUUUUUUAUACAUAUAAAAAGAAUUGGUUUGAGUUCAAAUUUUGUUUGCUUGUGUUUCUACAAAUGUUUAAUUACCUUAUAUAUAUAGUUGUUUGUGAGUGAUUCAACUAUCAACCUAUUACUUUAUAUACAUUAAUUUAUUAGUUCUAAAGUUAAUUCUUUUAAACAUGGUUUUUAUUUGCAAUCAAAUAUGCAAUGGUUUAUUUAUUUAUUAGUUGUUGGAACUUCAUAAAUUUUCUAUAAAAUUGAGUCAAACUAUUUACAUUACAGAUAUAGGUUAAUAGAAGUCCAUCAUAGUUAAGAAAUAGUUUGAUAUCUUUUGUAAUUUUUUUUUACACCCAUUAAACCUAAGACAUAGCACACCUUAAAUUGUUUGAAUGAAUUGGAUGGCCAAAAUGUAUCUUAGGGUUUGGGCACAUGUUUGACUUCACAAGCUUAGGUUUUGGUAAUUUUAAGGGUUUAAGAAUAUUUUAUUUUAGGUGUAAGUUUAUGGGAAGUAUAGGUUUAGAAAAUUGUAGUUGAGAUAUAAGUGUUUGUUUGUUAGGUUACACACAAAUUUCUAAUAUCAUGAAAGCUAAGUAUCAUAUUUUUUAUAUUCAUGCUUUAGUACAAUUAAAAUAGGAAAAUUAGAACUACAAUAGCUGUUAGAAUUUAUGAUAUAUUCCUAUUUAGUUUUGUAGCUAUGGAGAAAAAUGUUGAGAAUUUGUGAUUUACAUAUGAUUUAUGAACACUUAUUCUAGCUAGCUUUAAUGUUACUUUCAUGUUAUGUUUUAAUUACAUGGGGAUGUAUGAUGGGAAUGGGAGCCUAAUCUUUGUGAUCACCUCAAAAUAAUUAAAUAAAAUAAAGAUUCCUAUAUCCCUUAAUUGAAAUGCCCCCAACUUUAAUUAGCAUAUUGAUGCUUCUCAUUAGAUGUUUUCCAUUGUCAAAUAAAUUUAUAAAUUUAAGUCUAUGGAUGAAAAGAGAAAUAGGGUUUUGAAUUCAUUUCUAUUGCCAAAUAAAUUUAUAAACCUAAAGCUUUAACAAAAAUUGUACUAUGACUAAGCACUACAAAAAUAUGCAUAUCUCUCAAUCGUCCGAAAAUACCAAAAAUAAUGUAUUAGGAUUUCAUCUUCAUUCAAAGAUUUGCUGGGGGAAACUCAUUGGGAGAGAAAUUUUCCACGAGAAAAUGAACGUUUUGGGGAAGAUAAUUCUAACUUUCACGAAGUAACAUAUGUUGUUGGGAGAUACUAGCUCUCGCUCUCAAAAUGUAUAUAUAGUCCAUUUGAAGUAUUAUUUACAUGCAACAUACAAUUUUUGUAAUCCAUGUGGGAGAUCGAUGAACUCCUAAUACCAUCAUCGAUCAACCUAAAAAGCAAUUGUAUUUUCUUCUAAUGAAGAUUCAAGUUUCUCAAACCAAGUAGGGUUUGUGAUAUUUUUAUUUUGUUUGAUGUGUGAUGAAUAGUAAAUGGCAUUAAAAGUAAAAGCAAAUGAAUUGAAACAAUGUAAAUUGAAAAGUCUAACUCAGGUGUUAUGGUGCACACACCCAUGCAUGUGUUUAGUUGUUCAGUGGACAUUAAAAAUAUUAAUCAAAAUCAUGCAAAGCUGUGCUUAACCACUUCAAGAAAAUACCUUUAGCAGUUGCAUGCCAUGUCUUUGUCUUGUAUUGUUUGUGAGAAUUGUACAUUGUAGCAUCAAACUAUAGGGAGCUAUAUUUUUAUUCUAGAUUGGUUUUAUGUGUUUUCUAAUGACAUGAAGGGAGAUAAUUAAUUAUAUAACGUGACUGUAUAUUUCAUUUCAUUCCUUUUGUUAGAUUUUAUAUGUUUUGAUGGUCAAAUUUUGAAGAAGUUUAUGAGAUGGAAAUGCAAAGAUUUUGAAGUGGUAUUAUACACAUAACUUUGUUACAAGAUUAUCCUAUUAAAUUAGACGUUAUUCUUUUCUUUUACUGAUAAAACAUUUUAGCGACGUUUUUAGGUAAAGUUAGUAAGUCAAAGUUUUUUUUUUCUAAAAGAAGAAAAUUUUAAAUUUAUAACGACACAAAUAUAAAUUUUACCGACCCUUACUUUACGUUGCAAAAGAUUAUAUACAAUAUCCAAAAGCUCACAUUAUUUAGCAACAACUUGCAUGUUGCUAAAACUUAUCUUCUAAAGAUAAAGUUAUUGCAUGUGCCACUAUAUGCCAAUAUUGGCAACACUAGGAAUGUUGCUAAAUGUUAAGUAAUGUUGCACGUGUCAGUAAAAGGGAGGUUUUAGUAUCUUCACACGAAGAGUGUGUGUUACCAUAUACUUGUUGAGGGUAAAGAUUAUGUGGAGGAUACAACCACGUUUUCUUCGACGUUGCCAAAACGUUUAAUUUAGAGGGAUUUUUCAUCUUUUAAACAUGUUUUUUGCAUCAUAUUAACCAAGACAUGCUCAAUUAAACUAAGUGCUUCAUUAAUUGGGUACAACAUGCACUGUAAACAUCUCCCGCUUGCAUUACAAAUAAGGGAAAAGCUAAGACACUAGUUAAUAAAAGUAGUGCUUAAGUAAUCCAACUAAUUUUAUUUUUGUACUCAUCAAUCAUGUAAUGUUGUAAAUAAGAACUACUAUAAUCGGUAGUCAAUCGAUUUAAACAUAAAGAUGCUUUGAUUUAUGCUACUAAGAAUUAACACAGCUAAAUGUCACAGAUUGGUGUGAAGAGUUUAACUACUAAGAAAGCAAAAGAAAAAUGUAAAGGUGAUCAAUCCAAACAUAGUAUCGAAGGCAUUGAAAUUCAAAUGCAUUCAAUAAUCACAAUGAUUCAUGAGAUAUUGCUAUGAAAUAUACACGUACUGAUCAUAACUUUAAUAUAAUGGGUUUCUUACUCAAUAACCUAAACUGGAGAGUGCUUACAUUUGCCAUUAAACAUUGAGAUAAUGCUCCACGCUCCUCGUGUUGAAGCAUGUCUCCACACCCAUGAAAUAAGUCAAAUUUAAAGAACUAGAAACAAUCAAAAGACAAAGAAGAAGGGGGCCUAAUGCAAAAAAAAAUUCAUUUAUAGAGUUAUUAAUUACAACGCCGUCGUGUUGUGACGCUACGUCAAUUAAAGACUUUUCAAAAAAGUGACAUCAUGAUGUUGGACCCUCAUUGGGGCAAAAAUUGAUACUUUUACACCCCAUGUGACCUAGAUGUUUCCUUUGGACUUCAAAAUACUCCAUAUUAGCUGGGUCUUUAUCUCAAUGCUCAAAUCUACCUCUUUAGUUUUUGAUACCGCUGUAUAAUCAUUAAUUAACCGCAUGAAACCAUGCAAUAAAGUUGAGUUAAGGUAAAGGAGAUGAAAUUAACAUUAAAGGAAAAGAGACCAUAGGUGGAAGAAAGAUAUUAAACUUUUAUUAAAAAAAGGUGUAAAGAUAAAACUUUUGAGAGAACUUUUUCACUCUCAAUAACCCACCCCUCACUUUUCACUCUAAGAUUUUCUAAUUCUUUUUCUUUCUUUUCUUUGCUUUCUUCUUUGAUUACUUUACAAAUAAGGACACAACUCCUAUUUUAUAUGUAUGUUCGAUAGUCUUGAAGUUAAGGAGUAUUAAGAAUAAUACCAAUACGUUUUAUGUGCAAUUAAAAUUAACAAGAGGGAUGUUUCAUAUUAAUUAUGAAUACUAAAAAAAAAUUAACUAAAUUAUCAUAUGUCAUUUCUAAAGUCAACAACAACUAUUAAUGUUGCAUUAAAGGUAGAGACAACUUAAAUUGAAUCCUACUAAAAUAAAUAUAAAGUCAAAAAACAAACACUAUAUUUUAUUCAUUUACAUCCAAGUUUCCUUUUCUUAAUUCUUAAUUAAAAAAGAAAAAUAAUAUAUAUAUAUAUGUAUGUAUGUAUAUAUAUGUAUGUAUAUGUAUGUAUAUAUAAUACAAAAUUUUCAUACUUAUUAGCUUGAUAUAAAAAAAUAAAUUGAGGUUACUAGAAAUUUGAUCUUUUUUUUUGUUUAUGCACGCAAAUUUUAAUUUUUUUUUAUAAUCAUAAAAAUAUUUUUCUUGAUACAAUGUUUAUCUUGACGCUAAGAAAAGUCUCUUUAUUUUCUUGAAGAAAUACGAAAAAAAAACUUUAAAAAAUGUAGAUUCUUGAUUUUCUUGAUGGACAAGGUUUCCUUAGUUUUGUUGAUGGUCCACAAACGUAUUUAGGAUAAUAUAUUAGUUGACCGACAAUGCUCAUCAAGCUUGAUGGACAAGGCCCAUAAAUGGAUGAACUUUCUUGAUUUGUGCAAUGGUUAUCAUCGAAAAAAACUGAUAUAUUUAUUUUGGAUUUAGAAUUUUCUUGAUGGGUCUAGGGUUUCUUGGUGGACAAAGAUAAAAAAAGACAAAAAAAAUCAUAGACAAGGUUCAUCAAGAAAAAUGAUAAUAAUAAGAAAAAACUAUUUUUCAUGAAGCACGAAAUUUGGACCUUUGUUAAGGGCUUAGAAAACACGAUAUUCAUCCAUAUAUAAUAUUCUCAAUUUUAUACUAUUUUUUUCCAAUUAUUAUUUUUCUAUUCAUCAAUAGUGUAAUAUUACUUUUUUAAAAGUUAACGGUUGUAAUUAUAAUUAGAUUGAAAUAAGUCACUUUAUCAAAAUUAAAUUAGUUAUUGUAUUCAAUUUUAAUGUUGAAUUAAAGGUUUGUAAUUUAAGGUUUUUAAAAUUUGUAGAAGUUGACCAACAUUAGCUCGACUAACAUUUAUAUGUACACGUGGAUAUAAGAGGUUCUAGGUUUAAAUCUCCACUCCUGCAUCCCCAUUCCUAUAUUAAAAAUUUGUAGAAGCUAUUUAUAAAUUUGGAUUUGAUGUCAUACAAGAAUCAUUAAGAAAAAAAUUAAGAUCAUGAAGAUGCCAAUUAGCAUAGAACUAAUGUGGGUGUGAGAAAAUUAAACUAAAAUAGUAAAAAAGAAUAGGUUUGAUGACCAAUAACAUCAAGAAAACUACUUGAUAGACAAAGACCAUCAAGGUAGACAUUUUUAGACGUAUUUUGUACAUCAAAGAAGAUCAAAUUUGUAGUAAUGUUAGUUUAACCUUUUUUUUUUUUUUUUUGUCUAAUCUAACAAUCAUGUCUUGCCAAAAGAAAAUGAACAUUUGUAUAAAGAUGCAUCUUUCGUUAAUACAAUCAUACUUGAAAAACUAAUUAAGGCUUUUAAACAUAUUUUUUCUCUCUAAAUUUUAACUAAAAGUCUACUGUCACAAAGAAAUAAAAGAAUGCUUAUAGUGAAUUUGGAAAUUGUAAUUUAAUAAGUUCUACUUCAAGAUGAGAAUUGAGUUAAUGCUUCUAAGUCAAGAAAUUUAAAAAACUUGAUAUCUUUAAAUUGAAUUUUGAUCCUAUUAUCAUUCUCCUAUCAACCUCUCUCAUCUUAAUUAAUCAUACCAAGUUCUACAUCAGCUGCUGAGAAAUUUCCCUUAAAAAUAUGGUUUUAAAAGAAAUGAAAAUGAUUAAUAAGUUAGUUUACACAAAAAAAAAUUAAUAACUUGAUCAUGUAAAUUCACGUCAUGUCUAUGAUAUUUUGCUACACUAGAAAUCUUUAACAUGAAUGACAAUGAUUCAUCGAUUUUUCUAUAUAAACAUAAACUUUAUUACUUCGUGACAUUUUCUUACAAAAUUCAUGCUCUACUAUUAUUUGUCAAUAUGUUUUAUUGUUUCCUUACAUGCCUAUAUUCGAGUUUUAAAGGAAAACUAAAAAUAAAUGUUAAAUUAAACAAUCUAAUAAUAGAAGUUACAAUGCAAAUAGUAAGUAAAAAAAGAAAAGAAAAGCAAACAUAAAUAGAAUUGAAUAUUCACGGAGUGUUCGUAAAAAAAAUAUGACAUUUUUUAACACUGUGUUCACACGAGAUUUCAAAAAAAUGUAUUUCGUGGAAUUAAACUUUGAUAUAUUGAUGAAUAUAGCGGAUACAAUCUCUAGUAUUUACUUAUUUGAUGUUUUCUCUCAAAUACAAGUUAAAACUUAAAAUUUAUUGAUCUUCGGUCUUCAGGAUGUUGUAGUUGCAAGUCGAUUUAAACUUCGAUCUUCUGGAAUCUAAGAAAAAUUUAAUCUUCUAAGUUUUCAAUCAUUCAGAAGUUGUUGAUCUCGAGGUUGAUAUGAACUUGCACGUCUUAAGAACUUGUAGAAGUUCUCGAGGUUGAUAUGACUUGCACGUCUUGAGAGCUUGUAGAAGUUUGAAUCUUCAAUUCUUCAAAGUUUUAAUACUUCAAAGCUAGCUUCAAUUCUUCUUUCAACCAAAAACCCCUCAAAUGAAUGACAAUGAUCUCUAUUUAUAGAGAAAUUUCAUGGACUUUAGGUGGGCUUGAGUUUAUUUGCUUUACGGCAUUGGACUUGGGCCCAUUUGAUUGGUUGGGUGUGGGCUUGGACCAAUUUUUUUAUUGGGCUUGAGCUUGGACGUGGGCCCAUUUCCUUGGCGGGCUCGGGACCUUUGUUUGGCCCGUUUUUUCAUCAUAGACGUGCAUUGGGUUGGAUAUGAGAAAACUUGACUACCCAAAUCCAAUCAAAUUAUAGUCAUCACAAUUUUGCUGUGAUGACGUGACCAAAUUUAAUGGGUCGAAAUUUCUUGUUCAACACACGAUUUUCAAUGUAAUACAUAAAUAUUAAAAAAAUUGAAUAUAAAAUUAAAACUUACUUUGAAUCAAAAUCACUUGCUUACCAAUGUAGAACUAUUUAUAGAGAUGGAAGACAAAGAAUGCUAUAUUCACGGUAGAAUUUGAAGUGUUAAGAGAAAAAUUUAAGAUGAUAAUUUAGAAUUUAUAGAGAUUUCAUCCUUUUCAAUUGGCUUUAAUGAUUAGUGGAAAGUGCUUCAAUUAAUUUGUAACCUUUUCAAUUGUUUAUUAUUAAGCCAUAGAGUGAAUUAAUAUCAAUUAGAAACAUCCACUUUAAAUAAAUGUAACCUACAAAUUCAUGUUUGAUAAUGAAUAUGAUUCUCCCCAAAUUCCUUCUAAUACAGUAAAGAUUUAUAAAUAAAUUGUGAAAUUUAAUCUUUCUCGAAUUUUAAAAAUCACAAUUUAAUCACUUGAAAGCCAUUAGGAUAAUUGAUAAAUUCAUUUAGAAGUUUGGAAAUUCAUAUAAUCCUGAAAACAAAAAUUAGGUUAACAAUUAAUUUGGAAUAAUGCAUAAAUAUUUGAUAUUAUAAUUGGUAAAGAUAAAUAAAUUGGUAGAAAAAACUUUUCAAUAUUGUUGUGACGUUAAAGACUUAAAGUCGUAUGCACUUUUUCCUUUUAGAAAAAUUUCUUCAGCAUUAAUUUUCUUUCCAAAAGAUCAUUACAAAAACUGUAUACAUUUUGAUGCAUUCAAAAACAUAUAUGGCAAUAAAAAUUAUUGUAUUAGAUUUCUCCUUACUAGUUUGAGACAUUUACUUUCGAUUUCAUUUUUAAUUUUUUUUCUUUUUAUUUUAAAUGUUUAGAUUUAGUCAAAUAUAUUUCCAAAAGGAUUUUAAAAUUACUAAUCCUGUUGUUAGUAUAAAUUUACUUUUUUCCAACUUAGUAAAUGAAUAACAAUCCAUUUCUAUUUAAAAAAACACAUUGUAAACAUGUCUCUGAAUUGAAAAUUUCUUAAAAUUAUUUAACAAAUUUGAAAACCUAAAGAUGAACUAAUGUAUGCUUUUAGUGUGUAUUUUUCAACCAAAAUGUCACAAAGUUGUUGUACCAUGGAAGAACCAUUACAGUGGAAGCAAUUACAAUGCAACCUCGAUGCUAAUGGUACGGCAAAUGAAGGAGGAAAGGCAAAAGGAUUGGUAGGGUUGAAACGAAAAGAAAAACAAAGUAAGAUAUUAUCCAAACGUACCAAAACUUUUCUCCCCAUUUCUCAUAGCUAUUAUGAUGUGAUUAACAAAAUGGUUGGAAUUAUAUAAAUAAAAAAUGGUAAAUCCACGUAAGAUUAUUCCGGACGGGUCUCAAUUGAAGUUUCAAUGUAUUCCAACGCUAAAAAGAAACACUUUACCGCCACGUGUCAUGAUCAACCCCAAAUGUUUCUUUCUUUCUUUUGUUUUGUUUAACAAACCACCUUUUUCAUUUCAAACGACGCCGUAUCUUUUAACUGUCAAAUCCUUUCCUGGGGCCCUCCCAGUUAUCCGUCCCGUUAACUCUGCCGCCCUCCAAAAGGAUGUCUUCUUCUAAUAUUCACCUCACGCCCUAACCUCCCUCGCUUUUCUCUUUCUAUUAAAUUCCCAAAUUUACUUCUCUUUCACUUUUAUGUUAAUUUUGCUACUUAGUGUGGUUUAGUCAUUUAAAUAUAUAUAUAUACAAAUUUUAAUUUAAAAUAUACCAUACAUUAUAUUUUAUUUUAAAUUAAAAUUUAAUUAUUUAGAAAAUACAUUAAAUUUUAAAAAUAUAUCAAUCAUUGUUGCUAGUAAAUUAUGGAUGUCUCUCUUUAAUAAAAUUGCUUACAUUUUGUUACUAUUUUCGAUAUCUUUAUAAUUCACAAUAAUUUGUAAUCGUUUUAUUAUAAAAUUAGAUCAAGUAAUUAAGUAUAAUAGAAUCUAGAUAUAAAUUAUAAAAUGUUGACAUCAAUCCUUUACUGAUAAAGUCCCUCCUUACCUCUUCUAAAGGUUGAUGGACAAUUUCGUAAAUAAAAAAAUAAUAAUAAUAAUUUAAGCAAUAUAUUUAAAUUAUACUUUAGAAAAAUUAUAGGAUAAUACCAAACAAAAAACAUCCAAUAAAACAGCGCCCUUUUGCCAUGUAGGAUUAAAGACUGCAUCACACGCGCCAACAAGAUAAUCAAUAUAACAAUAAAUAAUUUCGGAACAUGCUUAUUGGGAUAACUGCCUCAAAUAUUCUAUAAUUACACUUCUGUCCUCACCUUCCUCUAAAUUACCAAAUUAACCCUAUCCUAUUCAUUUCUUGACCGUCCGAUCUUCAUCCCUUCCCAAAAUCUAUAGCUAGCCACGUGGUCUAUAUUUUCUGUCUCUAUCUUUUGCCUUUAUAAUUAAUAAUAAUAAUUUAAAAUUUUUAAAUACAUUUAUUUUAAUUCAUCCAUUCGUUUACAUUUUUUAAUUAUUUUGAUUUGGUUUAUGAUUGAAUUAUUAAAUAUUAAAAUUAGACCCAAUGGUUGACCACUUUUUUUUAAAAAAUCAAAGCAAAAUCUAAUUACAUUUGGAGAGAUAAACAGCAUAACAUAAUCUAUAAAAUAAAUAAGUGAGAUUGUGUGUUUUAUGUUUGUAUGUAUGUAUGUUUAUGCAUUUAUGAUUUGGGCAUACAUUUCUUAAAUUUUAUUUUAUAAUUUCUCUCACAUUUCUAUAAUUUUCACUUUUUGAAACAAAUGUUAGGUCAACUAGAUUCUUUUUGCUACAUUUUUUCUUUGUUUUAAUUAUUUUUAAUAUGGUAUAGCCUUUUUAAUUAUAAAAUUUUAAGAAUGUGAAUGUGUGCUUUUUAGCUAAUUUGAGAAAUUGGUAUAUCAAUGGACACAAUUCAAAUUAAAAGUGCAGUUUCAUUGUUUUCAAUACAUAAUUUCCUUUUUUUAGUUUCAAUGUUCAUGUUAAUAUAUAUGACACUUUUAUCAUUUUAAUUAACGCAAUUUAAGGAAGAAAAAAACAAGAGGUUAGUUACCAUUAUUUUUUUGAUUCUUGUACUUUAGUUUCGUUUUAUUUUAGUCGUCUUUAGAAUUAGAGAGAAGUAGAAUGGUCUCCUUUAGUCACUCCAUGUUUGACUCUAAUAUUAUGAUAAUAUUUAUUCGCACUCCCCUUUCUCCUAUUUUUCACACACACCCCUCUCACUAAACUUCAAAUAUUUACAAGUAAAAGUAGAUUGUCAAGUAAAAACAAAAAAUUCAGUAGCAACCACUACAAAAGUAAGCAUCGAUAAAAACUAAAAUAAUAGUCUACGGUCCAAAAACAGACAAUUAUGAUGCCAAAACUAUUAUAAAUUACUACCCGCACCAAACACUCCCUUAAGUGUUCAGUAUUAGUUUUAUACUUUCAACGAACCAUUUCAAACUUAAUUUAAAAAGAAUUUAGUUCAACCACAAUUUAUAAAAAAAAAGUUCAAACAAUACUAAAUUUUUUAAAAAUAAAGUAGAAACUAAAAAUGGUGUUUAUAAAUAUGAUACUAAUUGGAAGAUUUAUACAAAAGUAUAAAAAUGAAAAUUAAAUAAUUAAAAGUACUAUCAAUAGGAAUAGAAUAAAUUCUAAAGUAUAGAACCAACAAAUAUAACUACAAAUUAUUAUAUUAGUAAAUUAAAAGUGGAAAGAAAAUGUGAAAAUUGAAAAAUAAAUAAAUAAAAGGCAUCAGCCAUAGAAUUUUGGAAAAUUAGCUAGUUUCCUAAAAUGCCCUAUUUGGUGGAAACCCCAUUUAAAAAAAUUGACGUCCCAUAAAUUUCAUUAUUAUUAUUAUUACUGAUAUUAUUAUGAUGAUGAAAAUAAUAAGAAAAUAGAGAAAAAGUGAAAAAGAAAGGAAAUGAAAAAAAAAAAAACAAUAAGUGAUCCUUUAUGUGACUCAACGUUUUUCUCGAUCGUGCGGACCGCAGGGAGCCACAAGAUUUAAGGAAACGACACGUGGCAAAAUCGAAAGGCUAAUAAGAUUAUAUGGUGGGUUCAUCUGGUAGACAAGAACCGGUCUUUAGGUGGUUUUAGUCACCGGUUAUAGCCGGUAAACUAAGAGGCAAACUUACCGAUAGGUCCGGUGAAGAGGGUCAAUGGUAUAAGAUAGCUGGGGUUUAAGCAUUAUGUGUUUAGGUGGUUUUUCAAAGGGUUUUGGCGAUCGGAAUUUUUAUUUUUACUGAGAGAAGAAGAAGAAGAAAAAAAUAAAAGGAAAAUAAAUUUAGUUUUCAAACUUUGUUUUUGGUUUGGUGUUGGGAAUUUUUAUUUUUUCUUUUGGAUUAAAGCGAAAAAUUUAAAAAGAAAAAAAAGGAGAUGGGAUAGAAAACGAGAGAAUGUGGUGAAUCAAUCAAAGCCAAUCCUUGUUUUGUUCUUCGAUUUCAUUUCUAAUUUUUUACAGAUCUCUUUUUCGCUUGCAUUUGGUGGUGUUUUUCGCCGGAAUUUCGUUUUCCGGUGAUGAGGAUUUGAAAUUCGUUUUGUUUCAGGUGAGUCAUCAUAAUCGUUUUUUUUUUUCACCCAUUUUUGUGUUGAUAGUUCUUUCUUUCGUCGUUUCUAAUGGAUGUGUUGGUGGGGUUUUUUUUUUCUUCAGAACAGUGCAUUUGGAUUUUAGACAAAAACCUUGGGAUUAGGGACCUGAAUUUGGAAGAUUUAAUCUCCAAUUUCGUUUCAGUAUUGUCGUUUGUUGAGAAUUUUUGGUUUUUAUUCUUUUUAAUAUCUGAUGAUGAUCACACUCGAAUGGGGUUUUUUAUUGGGUUUCUGGGUAUCCAAUUUGUGCUCUGUGAGAUUCGAUCUCUGAUUCUGCAUCAAUUUUCUUCUUUUUUUUUUAUUUAUAAUUUUGUGGGUGAUCGAAAAUUUUCGAUUUUUCUGUUACCAGUUCUUGAAUUUCGAUGAAAUUUCAGCUGUUUGGUGAUUCCUGCUUGGAUGUGAGGAACCAUCUCUUUCUCAUGGAUUUAUGUUUUCUCUUCGUCUUCGAUCAUCUACUCAAGGGUUUUGUUGUGGUUUGUCAUCAAUUUAUUAAUUUAUAGUUUUUUUCCGGUUAACGAGUAACAACAUAUCUUUCUUAAUAUUUUCUCUCUAAAAUUCUUUCUGGGUUGGAUUUUGAAAUUUACUAUUACUGCAUGUCACUUUAUUUCUGAUGCUUGUGUAACUCUAUUGCAUGAGGUUUUACUUUUACCCUUUCUGGAACUCUUCGAUUGCUUCAUCCCGUCAUCACUAAAGAUUGUUGAAAUUUGGGUUUUAGUUAGAUCAUCAGCCUCUCUUGAAAUUUUAAUUAUGGGUCAUUGCUCCUUAUAUUUGUUUGUGUGGGUGUGCGUGAAUGAGUUUGGUUGGAUUGAAUAGAAGCAUUGGACUUGUGAUGUGAAGGCCUGGAAUUGCCUCAGGACUUUUGUUUUGAUUUGUCUUCCUCGAAUGUCGAAGCAUGAUUCGUCUUUUCAAUUUAAUUUCUCUAGUUUGUGAGAAGAGAUCCAGUUUGAGUUCAGGAUACGGCAUUCGAUCCUUGCUAGUUUGUGUGAUUUGAUGUUCUUAACCAAUAAACUAAAUAAAAUCUGAUUCAUUUCUUUUUCUUUUCAGGAAUUAAUCUGUAUUUUGACAUUGUGAGCAAGCUAUUCACAAAACUGAAGUGGGUUUCAGAUGUGCUAAAUCUCUGUGUAUUGUUCAUAUUUGUGCUAUGACUUCUAAAAUAUGGUGCUUCAGAAGAGGUUAGAUUAUGGGUUCCAUGGCUACCAAGUGCCAACCAAGCCUCGAGCUACUAGAUCGGCCAGGGUACAUGUCCUCUAUCAUUCUUGGCCUUCGUUCCAAAUUACUUAGAGAUCUCUGUCUUCUGCUUCCUUCGAUUACGAUGAAUUUGAAUGAUUUUCUAAUUAUUUCAGAAGAGAAGUUUAUGUAGAAAGGGCACUGAGGGUAGUCAAAUGCGUGCUUUUGAUUUGUUGGCUACCGUUGCUGACAAGUUGUUGCAUGGGACAGAUGGUCCUACCACGACUGCUACUGAUACAUCAACCGUAAAUGAUAGGAAUGCAGUUAUGAACAAAGAAUUGGAUGCAAACAGUUUGCUCAAAGUCGAGCCUUCUGAUGGAGGCAGCUGUUACCAGGGCCUUGUCCCAGAGACCAUUUUAUCAGGACACAAUAAAAAAUGUGAUAGAAAUGAUUCUCUUCCACAGCAUGAUGAACAUUCACCACAAUUAGUUUCCAUAGUAACAAAUUUCGAGAAGUGCAGGAAGGAAAUGGAAAAUUUAGUUAGCGAAGUACAUCUAGGCUCCCCUAGUAGCAAGGAGUCUGAUAAUUGUGAAUUGGACCGUAAGCAUAAAGUUACGGUAAAAUAUGAGUUGCAUAAAACUGAAGAGCUGCUUACUGGAGCUCAGAAUCAGGAUGACUCGUGCAAGAGAGAGGAUCCUGUUAUAUGGGACCAGAAAGCUCGUUUGUUAGGUAAUAAUUCAGAUAGUUGUGGCAAGAUGACUCAGGACAAAAAAUUUGUUCAGAACUCUUCUUUUGCAACUCAGAAUAAUGUAAAAGUAGAUGAUAGAGAUGAUGACGAAAACUCUUCUGGGUGUACUCACCCAGUCUCCUCAAUAAAGUCCUUUAGGACAUUACCUAGUAGUAGAGACCGAAGAAUAAGGAAAGUAUCAGCUUCCAAAUCUUGGAAAGUAGUUCCGAGAUACAGGGAUGAAUCACUUUCAAAGUCUGGUAUGUGAACCUUAUUUAUAGCAGUAUUUAUUACAUUGGGUAUGUUUUUGUGCUACAGGUUUGUUUCAGUUUCAAAUAGAUUGUUUUCUUGUUUCUAGAUGGGAGUUGGAAAUCUAUGUUCCGCAGUAAGAGCUCUCACGACAGUUGCAGACGGCAGAAAUCUCAAAUGAACAUUCCUUUUAAAAAGAGGAAAUUCUUUGACUGUACUAGCACAGUGUCAAAUUCUGACGGUGGAAUUAAUUCAGAGGGUCUUUCUGAUUCAACUGGGAAGGUUGUCAAUACAGAUAAGUCAGGUUUGUUUUUUGUAGUGAUGCCUUUAUUAAUGGUUUUGAAGUAGCAACUAAUAACUUUUUGUGCCUGAGAUUUAUUUCUCUUUUAAACUUUUUGCUGAAUGCUGUUCACAUCCCCAUGCAGGGAGAUCGUGUUCUGCAUCUGGUCAGGGCCAUCAGAAGUCUUUCCCAUCCAAAGAUUCUCAUGGUAUGAGAACUUCUGAUGGAUUUACUGCACUGAACUGUCUUGGCUUAUUAUUUCCGCUCGCAUGUGGAUUAUACAUGAAGGAUCUUAUCUUUUUUUUUUUGUCUUGACAGUGAAAAUUAGGAUAAAAUCUUUUAGGGUGCCAGAGCUCUUUAUUGAGAUUGCCGAGACUGCUACUGUUGGUUCAUUGAAGGUAUGAAAACGAUGGAUAUUGUGUUUGUUGAAUUUACUUCAAGACGUCACAUAUGUCAGCUGUAAAUUGGUUGUAGACACGGUAUGAUGCAGUUUUAAUCCACAUUGUUAACUUGCAAAGCAUGAAAGGAGAAAUGCUAACAAAGAUUUUAUGUCCAAUUUUUUUCUCAUAUGGAGUUCUUGAGUGUACGGAGAUAUAGGUACUUCUCUGGUUUUUUACAAUCAUGAUUUGUUAUUGUACCCUGAUCUUGCUCAACUGGUUAUGCAGAGGACCGUAAUGGAAGCAGUGACUGCUAUUCUUGGUGGUGGAUUACGAGUUGGCGUUCUUCUUCAGGGGAAGAAGAUUAGAGAUGACAAUAAAACUUUAUUUCAGACUGGAAUUUCUCAUGACAACCAGCUUGAUUCAUUGGGAUUUGCCCUUGAGCCUAAUCCUUCACGAACACCUCAUGCCUUGGACCAAGAAGAUUGUCCUUGUAUUCUUCCACAUGAUGCCGCCGAACCUCCAACCAGGUAAAUGAAAUAUGGCAGCACCUGAUGUUUCCGUUAAACGUUAGUUGUUAUCAUAUUAUAAAACUGAUAAACCUGCAAGUUGAAGCUUUAUCAACACAUUAGGCUGUUUCUUUAUUUCUGGUUGUCAAGAAAAUGGGGUCGCAUCACUGUAUCAUAUGUUACGCUGUUAUACUAAUCCUUGAUCAAGUCAAGUUCCAAUCCUUGUUCUAGUCAUCAAUAAGGACUGAUAUGAAUAGUUUGAAAGCUUGUGGAGGGAAUAGAUUCAAUCACGACUAAGUCCUACAAAAUCUUUCCAGUUAUGUAUGGGUUGCAUGCAAGCAAGUUAAUCUGGAUACUAACGGAGGAAAGGGAGAAAAAUAAAAGUAAAAUGAUCAUUGUUCGUUGUUAUCAUCAUUGACGUUAUUUGUGGGGGGUGAUUGAAUGCUGUGAUUUUCAGGUAUUCACGGAAUGCCUCAGCAGAUAAUCCAGGCAGUAGCACUGUACUGUCCGAGCCUCAUGGAGAUUCCUUAGGUAAUUUCAUUGAGAGUGACCAUGAUUCGGCACCCUCCCCCACCGAUACGUCAAAUCACAAGAGCUCAACAGACUCUAAAGCCUUGGUCACUGUACCAGAAAUGACAGUGGAGGCACUUAAUGUGGUUCCCAUGCAUAGAAAAUCUAAGCGGUCUGAGGUUGCACAGCGUCGAAUUCGCAGACCCUUCUCUGUUGCUGAAGUGGAGGCAUUGGUUCAAGCUGUUGAGAAACUUGGUACAGGAAGGUAUUAUAUAUAUGUGUGUGUAUAUUUUUAUUAGCAUGCAAGGAAUCUCCUUAAAUAUAAAAUAAAAUUACAAUCAGAAGCAAGGAACAAUUUUAGCCUUUAGAUUUGGACGUGCUUAUCUUUAGUAGAAAUGAUCUCCAUUUGCAGAUUUGUGAUCAACAGUGAAAAUAUUUACAUGGAAAUUUCUAACAUAAGUUGUUAACAAAAAUUUCACCAGUUCUUCACAAAAUGACUCCUCUAAAGUGGCUGAUAUUUAUUAUUCUGUAGGUGGAGAGAUGUUAAACUCCGUGCAUUUGAUAAUGCAAAGCAUAGAACUUACGUGGAUUUGAAGGUAUGGAACGUCUUCUUUUGUUUCCAACACUCCAUUCAAUGAUGAUUUUGUUUUCGUUUUUGCUUGUGUUUUCUCAUCUUCCCUAAAAAGGGCAAAAAAUGGAUAGGUAGAAGCAGCAGUGUUUACAAGCUUUGUAAAACCGAAUGGUUAUUGAACCAUGUUUAUUUUGUCUUGUUCUAUGUGUAAUCAACUGAAGUUUUUCUUUGGUAUGAGAGAGGAAGUUUGCACAAUUUAGGGUCUAGAAUUACAAUAACACACGCACAUAGUGUUGCACUGACCUCCACUUAUUGGUGCUUCCAUGUUUAAUCUUUUGAACUAGUUUACUUACAAAAGAAAGGAGUGGAUAGCUGUUGGUUAAAAUCUAGAAUGAUUUGGCUGUGAAUUCAGGACAAAUGGAAAACACUGGUGCACACGGCGAGAAUAUCCCCACAGCAAAGAAGGGGAGAACCCGUGCCACAGGAGCUUUUGGACCGAGUCUUGACCGCGCACGCUUACUGGUCGAAGCAGCAAGCUAAGUACCAGCUAAAGCGGCAGCCAGAGACAUGUCUUCUCCUUUGAACAAAAAAACAAACCAGCAAAAAGUUAGGGGUAAUGGGUUGGUUGGUUAUAUAUAACAUAUAUAUGAAUAUUAAUAUCUAUAUAUAUUAUAUAGUGCCUAUUCUGAAAGGUCUUUGUGACUAUGACUAUUCUUUUUUUUUUAUUUUUUUUUUUUUUUUUUUUUGUGGGGGGGGAGGGGAGGGGGUUGGGUUUCAAAGAAGGAAAGGUGUUGUAAAAAUUAAUGAUAAGGAAAGGGUGAUUUAAUGAUGAAGCAAAUGGAAAGUAUAUUACUAUAUAUAUUUUGGUGUAAUAUUUGGUGGGUCUGUCCAAAAAUUGUCCUUUUCCUGAUGUUGUAGGGGAGAGGCUCUUUCUUGGCAACUUGUAUAAAAUCAUUGUUGGAAUAAAGAGCUUGCUAACGGAAUUCGUUUCAAUUUUCUUCAUCACUCUUCUUUUCUUUGCCUA
rnacentral:lncRNA from 1 species